AGUAAGGUCAGCUAAUCAAGCUCUUGGGCCCAUACCCCAACCAUGUAGGUUCAAAUCCUGCCUUUGCUA
rnacentral:tRNA from 1 species